CUCCAAAAUGCCAAUACAUCAAAUCUGUUUCCCAUCGCCGUCGUCAUUCCACGUAUGGUGGUGAUUUCAUUAUUUUUACAUUUGGGGACAAUAAGCGUGUCCAUACACCCCAGCAACUAGGAAAUCAACACACCACCAUAUGCCUGAACUGAGACCAUUUGUCACGGUUUACGUUCCUUCCAAAGACUGCAGAACAGAGCUUGACUUGAAGAAGCACCAACGUGGGAACAGUUACUUGAAAUGUCAGAUGGAAAGCACAUUAGCAAAUGGGGUGUGUGCAUGCACCCCGGAGAAGGAAAGGACUCAACCCUCCAUUAGGCUUCCUGCUGCCACCCUCUGAUCAACAAUGCCCCAGCUACCAUUUUUCAGACAAAUCCUCCCGUCACUAGAUAUUUAAUUCUAGAAGGCCAAAGUGGGAAGAGACAGAAAAGAUCAGGGAAAAAGAAAAGAUGCUGGGUCAAACAUGUCAGAGCUGAAAGAACCUUGGAAGGUGACUCAUUAAUUCUAGCAUAUGCAGAUGAGCAAGUGGGGACUGGUGUCCCUAGGGAGAAUGACUGGGUUUGAGAUGGAACCCUUGGUUGCUUCUCAUGGGCCUCCUUGAUUGUAAGCCUGUCUGCUGCAUCCCCAGCCUUCUGUACCCACUUGAAGCAUGUCAGCCUCUUCCCUACUGUGAGUGGCAGCAGUUUGUUUCUACAGGGAUGCAAUUUUUGCUCUCCAAUGGAUGUAAACUAUCUUUCUUUUUUUCCAAUGAGAAACAAAGUCAUCCCCGGAGGAUGGAGAAUUCGUGAUGUGUUUAGUUCUUUACUAGGUACUGCGGGGGGUUGAAACAGUCUUUUGCUUGAAGUACUUAAGAUCCAGCCAG
rnacentral:lncRNA from 1 species